UACGUAGGUGGCGAGCGUUGUCCGGAUUUACUGGGCGUAAAGGGCGUGCAGGCGGUUUGCUAAGUCUAGGGUGAAAGCUCCCGGCUCAACUGGGAGAGGUCCUUGGAUACUGACAGACUUGAGGGAGGCAGAGGAGAAUGGAAUUCCCGGUGUAGUGGUGAUAUGCGUAGAUAUCGGGAGGAACACCUAUGGCGAAGGCAGCUCGCUGGGACGUUACUGACGCUGAGACGCGAAAGCGUGGGGAGCAAACAGG
rnacentral:rRNA from 1 species